GACGAACGCUGGCGGUGUGCCUAACACAUGCAAGUCGAGCGAGUGAAUUUCCUUCGGGAUUGAAGCUAGCGGCGGACGGGUGAGUAACACGUGGGCAACCUGCCUCAUAGAGGGGAAUAGCCUUUCGAAAGGAAGAUUAAUACAGCAUAAGACUGUAGCUUCGCAUGAAGUAGCAAUUAAAGGAGCAAUCCACUAUGAGAUGGGCCCGCGGCGCAUUAGCUAGUUGGUGAGGUAACGGCUCACCAAGGCGACGAUGCGUAGCCGACCUGAGGGGGUGAUCGGCCACAUUGGGACUGAGACACGGCCCAGACUCCUACGGGAGGCAGCAGUGGGGAAUAUUGCACAAUGGGGGAAACCCUGAUGCAGCAACGCCGCGUGAGUGAUGACGGCCUUCGGGUUGUAAAGCUCUGUCUUCAGGGACGAUAAUGACGGUACCUGAGGAGGAAGCCACGGCUAACUACGUGCCAGCCGCCGCCGUAA
rnacentral:rRNA from 1 species